rnacentral:ncRNA from 1 species
UCUCUUUUGCCACCGGGUAAAGAGAUUAUGCGUCAGACUUUCUAUCAUUAGGUCAUAGAAGAUAGAAAGUGCUGACGCUUUUUGUAU